rnacentral:lncRNA from 10 species
GAGCCAGGUGCGGGAUAUAAUCUCCUGGUUUGCUGUUUUUUAAGCCCAUCGGAAAAGCGCAGUAUUAGGGUGGGAGUGACCCGAUUUUCCAGGUGCCGUCUGUCACCCCUUUCGUUGACUCAGAAAGGGAACUCCCUGACCCCUUGCGCUUCCCGAGUGAGGCAAUGCCUCGCCCUGCUUUGGCUCAUGCAGGGCGCACUGCACCCACUGUCCUGCGCCCACUGUCUGGCACUCCCUAGUGAGAUGAACCCGGUACCUCAGAUGGAAAUGCAGAAAUCACCCGUCUUCUGCGUCGCUCAGGCUGGGAGCUGUAGAACGGAGCUGUUCCUAUUUGGCCAUCUUGGCUGUCUCCUCAGGUAUAUUUUCUCAAAAAGAGCUAAAAUUCUAUAAGGGCGAGAAAGACCAUCAACAAUCAACAUAACAGAUAACUACAUUAUGUGAUAUUUUAGAAGUUGAUAGCCUCAUUAAAAAAAGAAAGAAACAGUAGAGCAGAGUAAGGAAGAUAAUAAGAAUCUAGUGGCCAGAAGAGGCAAAUUGUAGUAAUAAAUAAGAAGGUCCAGAUAGGACGCAUUGAGUCAGUGACAUUUGACCAAAAUUUUGAAAGAGAAGAAAUGUUUCACUAAUUGGAUAUCUGCGAGCGGAGCAUUCCAGGCAGAGGGGACUGCAAGAGCAAAGGCGGUUGCUCAGGAGCCUGCUUGCGGAGACAUCAGGAGCAACGUUAGCAAGAAAAAGGAGGAAAGGUAACUGGCACAAGAUCAUGGGGCCCGUGUAAGCCAUCAGUUGUUAAAGCAGUGAAUAUUAUUGCUGAAAUAACUGAAGAAAAGUUACUGAUUCCUAUCUAGGACAAAGAUGGAUAAUUAUGAAUGCCCUGCCUUACUGAUAAUCCUUCAACAUGAAAUCCAGAACCUGAGUUAUUACAAAUUUUAUAAAUUUUCACUUUGUUAUAAAAGAAAGCAUACAGUCUACAUUUUGCCUUAUUUGAUAAAUAAUAGAUUCAUAUCAAACACUUCAUAAAAUUUCUGUUAAAACCAAAUUACAAAACAUUCUGGGAAUAGAUUAGUGCCGAAGUAAAUAGACUUCACUUAUCCCAAUCUCUUUCUUUGUCUUCCUCAUUCUAUUUAACAAAACUACCAAAAGGAUGUACAAAGACUGAUGAUUUUUAAUAAAAAUUAGAAUAAAUAACAACAUGCUAAAAAUGUAAAAAUAUUUUCUGAAAGCAUAUAUGCAGAUGAGUCUAGAGAGUGGGUCUGAGGGCAUUAAUUUACAGGAAGAGAAAUCACUGUCCUGUAGGCAUAUUUCUGUAUUGCAUGGGACUAUGAGAGCUUAAUAACAAGACCCUCAGUUGGGUGGAGGGUGGGGUGGUGUCUACAGAAAGCACAAAUAACGCUGUUAUUGAAGGGUAAGAAGCAGUAGUACAACUCACCUAGAUAAAGCCCACUCUGGAAGUUUUUAAAAUGGGGAAUUAAAAUAAACAAUUUACAGAAAAAUUAGAAAUAAACUGACAGUCAGUCACUCUGGCAUUCAAGGAAGUAUAAAUUGGCCAGAAGUGGUGGCUCAUGCCUGUAAUCCCAGCACUUUGGGAAGCCAAGGUGGGCGGAUUACCUGAGGUCAGGAGUUUGAGACCAGCCUGGCCAACAUGGUGAAACCCCAUCUCUACUAAAACUACAAAAUUUAGCCCAGCAUCGUGGCUGACGCCUGUUACCCCAGCUACUCGGGAGGCUGAGGCAAGAGAAUCCCUUGAACCCAGGAGGCAGAGGUUGCAGUGAGCCAAGAUUGCGCCUUUGCACUCCAGCCUAGGUGACAGAGUGAGACUUCGUCUCAGAAAAAGAGAGAGAGAGAGAUAAAAAAAAGUAUAAAUUUUGAAAAAAGAAGGGUAUUUUUAUCAGUUAUAUAUUUUUAGUUAAUUUUAUAUUGGAUAUAAUAUCCACUAUGGUUGAAGUGCCUGUUAAGAAGGUCUCUCAUAUAUGUAAAUAUCAAAACAAACCAUGUACUGCUAAGGAAUAAUUAGCCUACAUGGAUAAACAUUAUCAAUAUACAUAGACCUUAAUCUCAGAUAUGUGAUUUCUAGGAAUCUCAAUUAAAGAAUUUAAUCCUGCUUUGUGUUUAAAAUUUUGUCUACAAGAGCCACUUUAAUAGGAAAAAGAAGAAAACAAUCUAAAUGUUUAACUGAUAUUUGUUAAUGGUUAAAAUAAAUUACUGCUUAUUUAUCAGUAAAAUGUUUUAUUGCCAUUAAAAAUAGCUUAUAUUAAAUGACUUGAAAAUAUUUUCUUUCCCUUAUAUGUCAUUAAGCUAAAUAUGUGCUAUGAACCUGUAUGGUGUUUUGUAAAAAAGAAAAAAAAGCCUACUGAAACAAAGAUACACAACAAGAUUUUGAAUAUUGGUAAUAUUUUGUGUGACUUUUACUUAUUUGUUUUCUUGCUUUUCUGUUUCCUCCCCUCUAAGUUUUCAAAAACAAACAUGUAUUUCUUCUGUCGCAAAAAAAAAUAAAAGAAAAAUUUACAACAAUGGUUUAUCAAUUUACUAACAAAAUAAAUUUCUCUCUUAAUGUUCUAGUAUUAAAUAUUUUCAUUAUUUUUUAAAACACAUUCAAAAGUACAGUUGACCCUUGAACAACAUAGGUUUGAACUACACCAAUUUUCUUCCAUGCCUGCCACCCUUGAGACAGCAAUACCAACCCCUCCUCUUCUUCCUCCUUCUCCUUGGCCAACUCAACAUGAAGAUAACAAGGAUGAAAACCUUUAUGAUAAUGUACUUCUGCUUAAUGGAUAAUAAAGAUAUUUUCUCUUGCUUAUGAUUUUCUUAAUAAUAUUUCCUUUUCUCUAGAUACCUUGUUGUAAAAACACA